rnacentral:tRNA from 1 species
GGAGAGGUGGCCGAGUGGUUUAAGGCGGCGGUCUUGAAAACCGUUGAAGUCGAAAGGCUUCCAGGGGUUCGAAUCCCUUCCUCUCCGCCA